GGCUCAGGACGAACGCUGGCGGCGGGCUUAACACAUGCAAGUCGAAGGAGAAGGGGAAAGCUUGCUUUUCCUGGAGACUGGCGGACGGGUGAGUAACGCGUAGAUAACCUGCCUUUAACAGGGGGAUAACAUUUCGAAAGGGAUGCUAAUACCGCAUAAAGCAACUUGGUCGCAUGACUGGGUUGUUAAAGCCUUCGGGCGGUUAGAGAUGGGUCUGCGUACUAUUAGUUAGUUGGUGGGGUAACGGCCUACCAAGGCGAUGAUAGUUAGGGGGUCUGAGAGGAUGAUCCCCCACACUGGGACUGAGACACGGCC
rnacentral:rRNA from 1 species